rnacentral:lncRNA from 1 species
AUGGAGCUCCUUGGUGGACUUUCAAAUCUGCUACACCAAAGAUAUAAAUAUUAAGUCUAUACUUGCCAACAAUAUAAUCAAUACCAAUCUCGAGCACAACUUUGAUCCACAAUAAUAAAAAAAAAGAACUAAGAUUGCUAGUCACUAAUUAUUACAUUAAGAAAAAAAUAAAAUUAAAAAAGUUUAAAUCCAAAAGCUAUCAACAUCUUUUUUAACAGUGAUUGCUGCUACAAAUCUAUAAAAAAUAGAAUAGAACCUAG